rnacentral:piRNA from 1 species
UGGGAUGCUGGAGACUAAAAACCUGGUA